rnacentral:rRNA from 1 species
UACGUAGGGUGCAAGCGUUGUCCGGAAUUAUUGGGCGUAAAGAGCUUGUAGGCGGUUUGUCGCGUCUGCUGUGAAAUUUCGGGGCUCAACCCCGAACUUGCAGUGGGUACGGGCAGACUAGAGGUAGGUAGGGGAGAUCGGAAUUCCUGGUGUAGCGGUGAAAUGCGCAGAUAUCAGGAGGAACACCGGUGGCGAAGGCGGAUCUCUGGGCCUUACCUGACGCUGAGGCGCGAAAGCUAGGGGAGCAAACAGG